rnacentral:rRNA from 1 species
UGGGGAAUUUUGGACAAUGGGCGAAAGCCUGAUCCAGCAAUGCCGCGUGUGUGAAGAAGGCCUUCGGGUUGUAAAGCACUUUUGUCCGGAAAGAAAUCCUUGGCUCUAAUACAGUCGGGGGAUGACGGUACCGGAAGAAUAAGCACCGGCUAACUACGUGCCAGCAGCCGCGGUAAUACGUAGGGUGCAAGCGUUAAUCGGAAUUACUGGGCGUAAAGCGUGCGCAGGCGGUUUGCUAAGACCGAUGUGAAAUCCCCGGGCUCAACCUGGGAACUGCAUUGGUGACUGGCAGGCUAGAGUAUGGCAGAGGGGGGUAAAUUCCACGUGUAGCAGUGAAAUGCGUAGAGAUGUGGAGGAAUACCGAUGGCGAAGGCAGCCCCCUGGGCCAAGUACUGACGCUCAUGCACGAAAGCGUGGGGAGCAAACAGGAUUAGAUACCCUGGUAGUCCACGCCCUAAACGAUGUCAACUAGUUGUUGGGGAUUCAUUU